UACGGGAGGCAGCAGUGAGGAAUAUUGGUCAAUGGGCGCAAGCCUGAUCCAGCCAUGCCGCGUGCAGGAUGACGGUCCUAUGGAUUGUAAACUGCUUUUGUACAGGAAGAAACCCUCCCUCGUGUGGGAGAUUGACGGUACUGUAAGAAUAAGGAUCGGCUAACUCCGUGCCAGCAGCCGCGGUAAUACGGAGGAUCCAAGCGUUAUCCGGAAUCAUUGGGUUUAAAGGGUCCGUAGGCGGUCUUAUAAGUCAGUGGUGAAAUCCCAUCGCUCAACGAUGGAACGGCCAUUGAUACUGUUAGACUUGAAUUAUUAGGAAGUAACUAGAAUAUGUAGUGUAGCGGUGAAAUGCUUAGAUAUUACAUGGAAUACCAAUUGCGAAGGCAGGUUACUACUAAUUGAUUGACGCUGAUGGACGAAAGCGUGGGUAGCGAACAGGAUUAGAUACCCUGGUAGUCCACGCCGUAAACGAUGGAUACUAGCUGUUAUCAGCAAUCUCAGUGGCUAAGCGAAACGGAUAAGUUCCCACCUGGG
rnacentral:rRNA from 1 species